ensembl:lncRNA
GUAGGGGUUGAAGUUACUGCAUCUCUUUGCCCUUCGCGGUGGCCGGGCUAUUAUUAGCAGCGUGACUAAACCUGGUUGAAUUUCAGAUGCAUCUCCAGAAGCUGGCUGUCUGCAGCCUGCUGGGCUGGGAUCUGCUGAAUGGAGCUUGGGAACUGGGUCACAGCGAAUGCCUCCCGAGGCCUUCCGCACAAGUUCUGGUGUGCCAAGCUGCCUCCGUGAAUUUAUUGAAUGGGAGGAUAUAAUUUUUCCCCAGCUUUAACCUGGAAUUGCAGUAAUUAGGCUUAAAAUUAGAUAACCACCAUUUAUGAGUAAGGUAAACCCUGGAGUUUUAGCAGCAUGUUGUAUUUGGUUAAGGGGGGCCUCUGUGAGAAAGGACCAGGGACUCCUGUGAGAGGCAAAGCUAGCCCCAGGCAGCAGUCAGACCUCCUGCUGGCCAAUGUGGAGCCCAUUGGCAGCAUUGAUGGUGCCUCUGUAAUAUAUUUAGAAAGAGAAAGGUAAGUGCAUAAAGGUGAGAGGGCGACCCUCCCAGGGUCACUGAAGAAGGAGGAGCUCCAGGCCUGAGGCCCAGGAGAGGCUGUGGAUGAGAAGGCUGUCUCCUGCUGCCUCCAGGCACUGCACAGGGCACAUCUCCACGUGAGUUAUGAAGGAGCCCACAGGGCAGCAGUGACUGAGGCAUAAAGGAAAUACAGUCCAUGCAGAGCCCUGCAGGAGACCCUGGGGCAGAGCUGCAGCCCGUGGGGACCCACGUUGGAGCCGUCCAUCAUGAUGUGAAAAGGACUCAUGCUGAACCAGUUUAUAAAAGAGCCACAUGCUUGAGUGGAGGAGGAGUGCAAGGAAAGGGUGGCAGAGAUAACAUGUUAUGAACUGACUUCCACUCACAGUAGCCAUCCUCCUUGCAAUGCUUAGCAAAACUGGAUGAGUUUUAGCAGCCAGAUUCCUGAUUCAAGUUGUGCCUAGAGGCUGCAGCUUUCUUUGUGCAGACUGGGGAUCACAGGAGUAUAGCUUUCUGUUGAGUGCUGCAUUAAUGCUACUCAAGUUCUACAGAAGUGACUCAACAUCCCACAGGCCUGCCAGGAUGACAAGUCACUUGCAGGAUUCAGUGCUGGCUUUGUUACAGAACAGCCGCUGACGACCUUCUCAAUCCCAUCCUGGACUUCAGACUCAUGAAAGUUCUUGUCAGACAACACAAGGCAUCACAAAUAAAGCAGAGUUUUCAAUUAAAGCCAGUGGACUGAUUCAAGAAAUUACUGUUGAUGGGAAUGUUUAAUUUCAGCAAGAGAAUACCAUCUUGCCUUUGGGACUGAGAAGCAAAGUACAUCAUUGUUGUUUCCAGUUGGCCAAGAUUUACUUUAUUUCAGAUAGUGUGUUAGCAUUAAGCCCAGAUAUAUUUCCUACAAUUACAGGCUUUUUGGUAAGUGCAUAGGUUGUCACUUGAAUUGAUAGCUGUAUGGAAAAUAAAUAAACUCUAAACAUAGCUCAGAUGUAGAAUUGUGCUAUAUGCUUUGCUAAUUGAUGAGCACUUGCAUACAUCCUGCAUUAUGGGAUCCUGUGUUGUUUUUAAAAUCAGUGUAUAUUUGUUAAAAUGUCUUCCGUUUAUCUGAUUCCUAAUGCUUACUAUGAUGAAAAAAAUUAAUCUUCAUUUGCAACAGGAAUUUUAUUGUUGUCUUUAAAUGGUCUGAAUCUAAUCUGUAAGUACUUUUGUUUCACUGUAAUUAAUGCCCACCUUACUAGCUAAAAAAGCAAAUUAACUCAACAUGUAUCUGUGCUUCUCAGAGCAGAUGUAUAGC